rnacentral:rRNA from 1 species
ACAUGCAGUUGUGGGGCAGCAGCUCUGUAGCAAUACAGAGGCUGGCGACCGGCAAACGGGUGCGGAACACGUACGCAACCUACCCAAAACUGAGGAAUAGCCCGGGGAAACCCGGAUUAAUACUUCGUAACAUAAUGAAGUGGCAUCACUUUAUUAUUAUAGCUCAGGCGGUUUUGGAUGGGCGUGCGGCUGAUUAGGUAGUUGGUGAGGUAACGGCCCACCAAGCCUGCGAUCAGUAACUGGUGUGAGAGCACGACCAGUCACACGGGCACUGAGACACGGGCCCGACUCCUACGGGAGGCAGCAGUAAGGAAUAUUGGUCAAUGGACGCAAGUCUGAACCAGCCAUGCCGCGUGGAGGAUGAAGGUCCUCUGGAUUGUAAACUUCUUUUAUCUGGGAAGAAAUCCCCGAAUUCUUUCGGGGUUGACGGUACCAGGUGAAUAAGCACCGGCUAACUCUGUGCCAGCAGCCGCGGUAAUACGGAGGGUGCAAGCGUUAUCCGGAUUCACUGGGU